CCUACGGGAGGCAGCAGUGAGGAAUAUUGUUCAAUGGACGAGAGUCUGAACCAGCCAAGUAGCGUGAAGGAUGACUGCCCUAUGGGUUGUAAACUUCUUUUAUAUGGGAAUAAAACGUUCCACGUGUGGGAUUUUGUAUGUACCAUAUGAAUAAGGAUCGGCUAACUCCGUGCCAGCAGCCGCGGUAAUACGGAGGAUCCGAGCGUUAUCCGGAUUUAUUGGGUUUAAAGGGAGCGUAGGUGGAUUGUUAAGUCAGUUGUGAAAGUUUGCGGCUCAACCGUAAAAUUGCAGUUGAAACUGGCAGUCUUGAGUACAGUAGAGGUGGGCGGAAUUCGUGGUGUAGCGGUGAAAUGCUUAGAUAUCACGAAGAACUCCGAUUGCGAAGGCAGUUCACUGGACUGCAACUGACACUGAGGCUCGAAAGUGUGGGUAUCAAACAGGAUUAGAUACCCGAGUAGUC
rnacentral:rRNA from 1 species